rnacentral:rRNA from 1 species
GUCUUGAAACACGGACCAAGGAGUCUAACAUGUGCGCAAGUCAUUUGGUUUAAUAAACCAAAAGGCGUAACAAAAGUAAAGUAAGCUUUGCUUAAUUAGGGAGGAUAAUUAUUAAUAAGAUUUUCUUAUUAUAAUUCGCACUCCCGGGGCGUCUAUUACUCAAUACGAGUAAAGGCGCACCUAGAGCGUACACGUUGGGACCCGAAAGAUGGUGAACUAUGCCUGGCCAGGAUGAAGCCAGGGGAAACCCUGGUGGAGGUCCGUAGCGAUUCUGACGUGCAAAUCGAUCGUCAGAGCUAGGUAUAGGGGCGAUAGACUUAUCGAACUAUCUAGUAGCUGGUUCCUUCCGAAGUUUCCCUCAGGAUAGCUGGUGUCAAUGAUGAUUAGAGUCUCAUCUGGUAAAGCGAAUGAUUAGAGGCCUUGGGGCCGAAACGACCUCAACCUAUUCUCAAACUUUAAAUGGAUGAGAGCCUUGGCUUGCUUAAAAAGUGAAGCCAAGGAUUCGGAUCUAGAUGCCAAGUGGGCCAAUUUUGGUAAGCAGAACUGGUGCUGUGGGAUGAACCAAACGCAAAGUUAAGGCGCCUGAAUCAACGCUCAUGAGACACCAUGAAAGGCGUUGGUUGCUUAAGACAGCAGGGCGGUGGCCAUGGAAGUCGGAAUCCGCUAAGGAGUGUGUAACAACUCACCUGCCGAAGCAACUAGCCCUGAAAAUGGAUGGCGCUGUAGCGUUGUGCCUAUACUUUGCCGUUAACGGCAAAUAUGGCAAAGCCUUAACGAGUAGGAAGGUCGCAGCGAUGUGCGUAGAAGGGUCUGGGUGUAAACCUGCCUGGAGCCGUCGCUGGUGCAGAUCUUGGUGGUAGUAGCAAAUACUCCAGCGAGGACCUGGAGGACUGUUGUGGAGAAGGGUUUCUUGUGAACAGCUGUUGCACAAGAGUCAGUCGAUCCUAAGCUCUAGGAGAAAUCCAAUGUUGAUAGAUGCCCUAAUUUGAAAGGCAUCUGUAGAGCGAAAGGGAAUCUGGUUCCUAUUCCAGAACCUGGUAGCGGAACCGUUUCAAAUUCGAGCCCUUUAAUGAGCUUGUCGGGGUAACCCAAAAAGACCCGGAGACGCCGUUGGAAGGUUUGGGGAGAGUUGUCUCUUCUCUAUAAGCGUUCGAGUUCCCUGGAAUCCUCUAGCAGGGAGAUAGGGUUUGGAACGCGAAGAGCAUCGCAGUUACGGCGGUGUCCAAAUCUUUCCUUCGGACCUUGAAAAUCCGGGCGAGGGCUACGAGGAACACCGCACCAGAUCGUACCCAUAUCCGCAGCAGGUCUCCAAGGUGAAUAGCCUCUAGUCGAUAGAAUAAUGUAGGUAAGGGAAGUCGGCAAGCUUGAUCCGUAACUUCGGGAUAAGGAUUGGCUCUGAGGAUCGUGGCGUGCUGGGCUUGGUUGGGAAGUGGAGCGGUGUCAAUUAGCCGGGCCUGGGCGAAGUAAACAGUUUUUACUGUUAAUCUAAGCUCGGUCCCGUGCCUUGGCCACCCAUGGAUCUUCCUUGCAAUAGGCUUCACAAUUGUCAGUUACUAAGUUUUAUCUUGGUAAAACGGAUUGUGGGUCUUUUCGGCCGCCUUUUAACGAUCAACUCAGAACUGACACGGACAAUGGGAUUCCGACUGUCUAAUUAAAACAAAGUAUUGCGAUGGCCCCAAACGGGUGUUGACGCAAUAUGAUUUCUGCCCAGUGCUCUGAAUGUCAAUGUGAAGAAAUUCAAGUGUGACGCGCAUGAAUGGAUUAACGAGAUUCCCAUCUGUCCCUAUCUACUAUCUAGCGAAACCACUGCCAAGGGAACGGGCUUGGAAAAAUUAGCGGGGAAAGAAGACCCUGUAGAGCUUGACUCUAGUCUGGUACUGUAAGGAGACAUGAGAGGUGUAGCAUAAGUGGGAGAUGACUUUGUCAUCGUCAGUGAAAUACCACUACUCUUAUAGUUUCCUUACUUAUUCGAUCAGGCGGAAGGCGUCUGCCUUGGGUACUUUGCCCAGGUUUGACGGUAUUCUUGCGCCAAGCGUUAGGGUUGUCGGUUUGUCUAGAUAACUUUGGCUUUUCAUGUUCAACUAUCAAGGUUCAUGUUUCAAGUAAAAUUGUUCAAGUAUCAAGAUUAUUGUUUCAAGUUUAGCCCAUGUAAGUGUCAAGACACCGUCAACAUAGACCCCUAGCGUGAUCCGAUUCGAAGACACUAUCAGGCGGAUAGUUCGACUGGGGCGGUACAUCUGUCAAAAAAUAACGCAGGUGUCCUAAGGCCAGCUCAGCGAGGACAGAAACCUCGCGUAGAGCAAAAGGGCAAAUGCUGGCUUGAUCUCGAUGUUCAGUAUGCAUAGAGACUGCGAAAGCAUGGCCUAUCGAUCCUUUUAGUCUGAAGAACUUUCAGCAAGAGGUGUCAGAAAAGUUACCUCAGGGAUAACUGGCUUGUGGCAGCCAAGCGUUCAAAGCGACGUUGCUCUUUGAUCCUUCGAUGUCGGCUCUCCCUAUCAUAGUGAAGCAGAAUUCACUAAGUGUCGGAUUGUUCACCCGCUAACAGGGAACGUGAGCUGGGUUUAGACCGUCGCGAGACAGGUUAGUUUUACCCUACUAAUUAAUAGUUUUUGCGUUAGUAAUCCUGCUCAGUACGAGAGGAACCGCAGGUUCGGACAUUUGGUUCAUGCACUCGGUCGACAGGCCGAUGGUGCGAUGCUACCAUCCGUAGGAUUAUGCCUGAACGCCUCUAAGGCCGAAUCCUUUCUAAAUAAGCAAAUAUAACAUUUAUGGGCUUUGUGAGUUAAAAGGCUUAAGCAAUGUGAUUGUUUAGGUGGUUAACAUUUAUGUUUAAUCAUCACAUAUGCCUAUUGUG